rnacentral:lncRNA from 1 species
GCAUUUUCUUUCAGAUCCUGCCAUGUGGUCACUUCAAAGUACCUUGGGUGGUGAGGAGAAAUCCAAUGCUUACUUUGAAAAUCCUCAGACAGAAGAUGCUGUGGUUUGUGCAUGAUGUCUAGUAAACCACAUCAUUCUCUAAGGCACUUACUUUCUCAAAUAGAAACAUUAUUUCUUUCUUCCUGAGGAGCUGCCUGGUUUUCAGCAUGGAAAAAUACAGAAUGAAAAAGACUCUGGGAUUUAAAAGAAGUCACAAAUGUAAAACUACCUCUCUAUAUUAAUUAAGCAAAAGAAUUUUCUCAUAGGUGACUCUGCUGUUACUGCUUGUAUCUUACUUGAGUGCUGGGCAGACAGGCGAGGCUUAAGAUCUCACCAUUUCUCUGUUUAGGAGGGUUGCUUUCUGCAAGUGCCAGAACAUCCUCUAUCUCUCUGUGCCUUACAGAAGUUGGGCCGGCCAUAUAAGAUGCAACAGGGGCUGCUGGAUACCUUAAGCACCCAGGAGAACUGAAUGCAGGGCAACAGGGAAGAAUUAAGUGCUUGGCUUAGGUCUCUUGGCUCGGGAAUAUUUUCCUGGGAUGUGCACAAGCUGGGAAGAGGCAGAAGACAGACUGGAAUCUGAAGACCUCCCAACUUUGGUUCUGUCCUUGUUCAGCAACAGCAGGAACUUCAUCUCUUUGUAUGGAAUUCCUCCUGCAGUGCUGGAUGAAGAAUCAGAAUGGAAUCACAAGGUCAGACUUUUCAUUCUUUUCCAUUUGAUUCUCAGAGUUCUUAGGUCACAGUUUUCCUUUUGUGCCCUGAAAUUUCUUCUUCCAAGUGUGAUGCACAGGUAUGUCCUUCAAGGGAAUCAGUUAGAUAGACAUUAUAGAGAGGACCUUAAAAGGAAAUGUCAGUGA